CAAGUAUCACACUGGAACAGUUCACUUCUGGUUCCUUUUGAAGUAAACAAUGAACAAGAAUACAAACAUGAUUUUCAAAAGAUUCUCCAUCGUUACUGUGAUAAUUCUGGCUGCAUAGUGAGAGAGAUUUAACAACAGCUUUUGAAAUGCCACAAGCAUGGAUUCAUCAUUUUUUUGUUAAUUUAAUAGGGUGAGGCGGUUUUUCGGUAAACCGAAAACCCGAUGUUUUUUGAAAACCGAAAUACUCGAUGUUACUUUUGGAGAAAAACCGAAAAAACGGGGGGAAAUGGGAAAAAAAAACCAGAAGAAAAAUAGAUAUUUUACUAAAAUCAAACCAUACUUAUACGAGUUUG